GGUCCUUCUCCAUUAAUUCCAGGGGAAAAUCAAAGAGAUCUUGAAGCUUAUGUAAGUUUAAAUCAGAGAAGAGAUAAAAGAUUUGGAAUAAAUAUUCCAAAGCUGCAGUGUUAGAAGGAGAAUAAAAAUUCUUCAUCCUUGAAUGGCUGUAGCUGUGCCAUGGUUGUGAUUCAUUACCAGAACAAGAACAAACACGUUUUUGAAGGCUGCACAUUCCCUGUAACUGAAAUAUAACAAGGCAGAGAACAUUGUGCCUCUACCUCCAAACCAGGAUUAGACUUUAUCUUCAGACUAAGGAUUCUACCACUGGCCGUUUUACUGAUUUGAUUGGUGGAAAAUGUAGAUGGUUUGGAUCACAUACAGUUGGCGUGACUUGUACAGCUUCUUUGACGAUGUUGUUACCACAACUGCCAUAGCACUUUCCUGUGUAGAUAGGCAUGAUUUUACACAGAAAGUAAGAUGUGCCCUAGCAGAAUCGUGGGAAAGAAGUUCUCUAAAUGUACAUGCCUUUAGCUGUGUGAACUAG
rnacentral:lncRNA from 1 species